CGAGCACGAGUGAGGUUUGCUUGGUUCCGUUUGUGGCGUUUCGGUUUUUGGCAUAGGAGAGGAAAAUUUAUGGUGAAAUCCUUUGUUUUUCUUAGCUGUUUACGGUGUGCGAUACAUAGAAACAGUGUCGGUUCCUGUUUUGUGAUUGUCAAUUAGUGGGAAGGAAAAGUUGGAAUAUCUCCUUCGUGGUGGCUUGGGAUAGGUUCUGUGAAUCUUAUCUGCCAACCAGCCAACCAACAACCAACCAACCAACGUGGUGUGGUCAGUAGAAAUUUGAACUUCCAGAUCUGAAUUGCAGCUGUGAGCAGAUGUUAGGAAGUAAUUAGUGGGGGGUGGUAUAGCUUCUAGUCAUCUGGUCUAUCUAGGCAGAGACAUUUGUAGGUGUGUGAUUGUUCAGAGCAGAAAACAACUGACUUUAUGUACUCAUUCAGUCUUCUCUCUUGCUGAGAAAUUGGCAGAGCUGUGAACUUUUGAGUGAGAACAGAAAAGGAACUUGCACCGGAUACCAAGAAAGGAACAAACUGCACACAUUUCAGAGUGUUGAGUGGGCCUCUGGUCCAUCUAAGGUACCCUGAGAACAUAGCCAAUGAGGAUCAUUCUAAUUCUACUCUGACACUUCUUCAACCCAAUAUCUUGGUGCACCCUUUUAGGAUCUUCAACUCCGCAGGUGGAAAACCCAAGAACUAGAGGGUCCCAAGAGAACAGAUCAAACUGGUGGCCAAUUCGGGGGCAGGGGCCCAUCGACUAUGCAUCCUGUGGUGUCCUUUGUAGUUUGCACGCUAUCUCUCCCAGCCAGGAUCGCAAGCUACAUUGUGGAUUGUGCAGGUGUUGUCUCCAUAUUGACUGCUAAGAAAAUAAAUAGCAUGUUGGAAAAAAUAUAUCACGUGGAGAAGAGAGAGAGAAAGAGAGAGCAUGAGCAUGGAGAGCA